CACGUAGGGCGCAAGCGUUGUCCGGAAUUAUUGGGCGUAAAGAGCUCGUAGGCGGUCUGUUGCGUCCGCUGUGAAAUCUCGGAGCUUAACUCCGAAACUGCAUUCGAUACUGCCGUGCUUGAGGACUGGAGAGGAGACUGGAAUUUACGGUGUAGCGGUGAAAUGCGUAGAUAUCGUGAGGAAGACCAGUUGCGAAGGCGGAUCUCUGGGCAGUUCCUGACACUGAGGCACGAAGGCCAGGGGAGCAAACGGG
rnacentral:rRNA from 1 species